UCAUAGGUUGGACUGUGUGGACUUAACGGAUAUAUUCAGAACGUUCUAUCCUGAAACAGCAGAGUAUACAUUCUUUUCAAGUGCACAUAAAACAUUCUCCAGAAGAGAUCACA